rnacentral:rRNA from 1 species
AACCUGGUUGAUCCUGCCAGUUGUCAUAUGCUUGUCUCAAAGACUAAGCCAUGCGUGUCUAAGUAUAAAUGGUAUACAGUAAAACUGCGAAUGGCUCAUUAAAACAGUUAUAGUUUAUUUGGUAAUCGAAUUUACAUGGAUAACCGUGGUAAUUCUAGAGCUAAUACAUGCUGUAAAGCCCGACUUCUCGGAAGGGCCGUGUUUAUUAGAUAACAGACCAACAGCUUCGGCUAUUGUGGUGAAUCAUAGUAACUAAUCGGAUCGCAUGGGCUAGUCCCGCGACAAACCAUUCAAGUUUCUGCCCCAUCAGCUUUCGACGGUAGUGUAUUGGACUACCGUGGCUUUUACGGGUAACGGAGGAUUAGGGUUCGAUUCCGGAGAGGGAGCCUGAGAAACGGCUACCACAUCUAAGGAAGGCAGCAGGCGCGUAAAUUACCCAAUUCUGAUUCAGA